CCUACGGGAGGCAGCAGUAGGGAAUAUUGCUCAAUGGGGGAAACCCUGAAGCAGCAACGCCGCGUGGAGGAUGACGGUUUUCGGAUUGUAAACUCCUUUUGUUAGAGAAGAUAAUGACGGUAUCUAACGAAUAAGCACCGGCUAACUCCGUGCCAGCAGCCGCGGUAAUACGGAGGGUGCAAGCGUUACUCGGAAUCACUGGGCGUAAAGCGCGAGUAGGCGGGAUAGCAAGUCAGAUGUGAAAUCCUAUGGCUUAACCAUAGAACUGCAUUUGAAACUGUUAUUCUAGAGUAUGGGAGAGGUAGGUGGAAUGCGUGGUGUAGAGGUAAAAUGCAUAGAGAUCAAGAAGAAUACUCAUUGCGAAGGCGACCUACUAGAACAUAACUGACGCUGAUGCGCGAAAGCGUGGGGAGCAAACAGGAUUAGAUACCCGAGUAGUC
rnacentral:rRNA from 1 species